rnacentral:lncRNA from 1 species
UGUAGACCCUCGUAGUCACCUGGUGGGUGGUUCAGCAUGUGGGGUACUCGUGGGCCAGGUACAGACCCUUGUAGUCACCUGGUGGGUGGUUCAGCAUGUGGGGUACUCGUGGGCCAGGUACAGACCCUCGUAGUCACGUGGUGGGUGGUUCAGCGUGUGGAAUACUCGUGGGCCAGGUACAGACCCUUGUAGUCACCUGGUGGGUGGUCCAGCAUGUGGGGUACUCGUGGGCCAGGUGUAGACCCUCGUAGUCACCUGGUGGGUGGUCCAGCAUGUGGAGUACUCGUGGGCCAGGUGUAGACCCUCGUAGUCACCUGCUGGGUGGUCCAGCAUGUGGAGUACUCGUGGGCCAGGUGUAGACUCUCGUAGUCACCUGGUGGGUGGUCCAGCAUGUGGAGUACUCGUGGGCCAGGUGUAGACCCUCGUAGUCACCUGGUGGGUGGUCCAGCAUGUAGAGUACUCGUGGGCCAGGUGUAGACCCUCGUAGUCACCUGGUGGGUGGUCCAGCAUGUGGAGUACUCGUGGGCCAGGUGUAGACCCUCGUAGUCACCUGGUGGGUGGUCCAGCAUGUGGAGUACUCGUGGGCCAUGUGUAGACCCUCGUAGUCACCUGGUGGGUGGUUCAGCAUGUGGGGUACUCGUGGGCCAGGUACAGACGCUCGUAGUCACCUGGUGGGUGGUUCAGCAUAUGGAAUACUCGUGGGCCAGGUACAGACCCUCGUAGUCACCUGGUGGGUGGUUCAGCGUGUGGAAUACUCGUGGGCCACAUACAGACCCUCGUAGUCACCUGGUGGGUGGUUCAGCAUGUGGAAUAGUUGUGGGCCAGGUGCAGACCCUCGUAAUCACCUGGUGGGUGGUUCAGCAUGUGGAAUACUUAUGGGCCAGGUACAGACCCUUCUAGUCACCUGGUGGGUGGUUCAACAUGUGCACAGCCCACCAGCCGCCAUAUUUCCCUUCUCAAUAGACCUACACAUCAUGCCCAGCCAGUGGAGGGGUCUGAGGUAGUCAAGCCGUGUAGCUUCCCUUCAUGGGCCUCCCACCUCAACCCCCGAGGGUAUUGCAGCCUCUACACUGGGCCAUGCUAGAUACCUGGAUUAGGGGGAGGCAAGAGGUUUACUCCUGCCAAGAUGAGUAAGCCACGCCAUCAUCACCAUCAUUAUGCCAUGGUGCUGCCAGCCAGCAUGGGACAGCCGCUAACGUGCCUUACUCCAGGACACUGCAGCGUGCAGUUGCCCUACCCCGACAAUCCCCCAACACCUGAGCCUAGGCCCUCACCCAGGUCAAAGACAGAAGCAGCUUGUGGGACAGGGAUUAAGGAGGGGAAGGCUGGUCAGGACCCAAGGUGCCAGAGCAUGGAGGGGAAUCAGGGGUAAAUAAUCCAUCCCAGGGAGGCAGAGAGGCAGCAGGAGGCGGGACUGUACGGGAGCCAAAACCCCUCGUCCCCAGUGCAUGCUUCAUUGUCUCAUCACACUUCGCUUACAAAACAUAAUUUCAAAGAUAAAUUUGUUAACAAUUUCAAGAUAAAUACUGUAGAGUACAGGACCCUUCUAAGCACUGCCUCUUUCCCCAGGCUCUCGACACCUAUUGACUCUGCCCCCAAACCAGAGUUCUGACACUAGAAAGAAUUCAUGAACAAUUAUCAUGUUAACAUCCAAACUCUCUUGCUUUCUUCUUUCUCUGUCUCUCAAGAGUUAAUAAAAAGGGAAAAGGAUCCAUGGAGUUGUGCUGAAACUAGUCUUCCCAAGUUCACUGUGACAUUUUUCUGUUUCAUCACUGUAUCCCACUACUAUCUCUCUGUCUUCUGAAACUGCUGUGGCAAAGUCACUGAAGGUAAUUGCCAAAUUCGAUGGGAUUUUUUUGAUCCUCUUACUGUAAUACUUAAUUUCUAUACCACAUUUAAUUCUGAGAAUCACUUUCUUUUUGAAACUCUUUCAUUCCUUCACUCCCUAAUACCACUAUGUUCUAUUUCCAUAAUGGUUUUUUCCCAGUCUUUUCCUUUGGCUUUCUGUCAUCUGUCCUUACCUUAAAUGUCAAUUCAAUCCAGGGUUUUCUCUUCGGUCUUAUUCUCAACUCUACACUUCAGCCUGUGCACUAACUCAAGAAAGCCAAGAAAACUGAUAAAGACCCAGAAGAAUGCUGCUAAUAUUGUCUUUCCAUGGAAAUUCAGACUGUCACUUUAAUGUCAGCUGAUACUGAUUCCUUCUCUACAAGGUUACUGUAUUAAUACGAAAGCCUUUCUUUUAUUAUCGACAAGUAUUUCCUUUUGCCUUCAAAUUUUCCUUCCAGAUACGCUGGUAACUCACUCAGUGACUCAGUUCUUCUUCCCUGUGCCUCUGACAAGUAAGCAUAACACAAGGCAGAAGGUAUCAGCCCUGGAGCCGGGGUCUUUUUAAUCAACCUUGGACUGUGUUGAACUCUGGGCAUAGUUUACCUAUUAAGAUAUAUAGUAGCUAUUUUCAGCAGCUUUCUAACAUAUCAGAUUGAA